rnacentral:rRNA from 1 species
GGGAAUUGGCGGGCUGCUAAUACAUGCAAGUCGAGCGGACAGAAGGGAGCUUGCUCCCGGAUGUUAGCGGCGGACGGGUGAGUAACACGUGGGUAACCUGCCUGUAAGACUGGGAUAACUCCGGGAAACCGGAGCUAAUACCGGAUAGUUCCUUGAACCGCAUGGUUCAAGGAUGAAAGACGGUUUCGGCUGUCACUUACAGAUGGACCCGCGGCGCAUUAGCUAGUUGGUGGGGUAAUGGCUCACCAAGGCGACGAUGCGUAGCCGACCUGAGAGGGUGAUCGGCCACACUGGGACUGAGACACGGCCCAUACUCCUACGGGAGGCAGCAGUAGGGAAUCUUCCGCAAUGGACGAAAGUCUGACGGAGCAACGCCGCGUGAGUGAUGAAGGUUUUCGGAUCGUAAAGCUCUGUUGUUAGGGAAGAACAAGUGCGAGAGUAACUGCUCGCACCUUGACGGUACCUAACCAGAAAGCCACGGCUAACUACGUGCCACCAGCCGCGGUAAUACGUAGGUGGCAAGCGUUGUCCGGAAUUAUUGGGCGUAAAGGGCUCGCAGGCGGUUUCUUAAGUCUGAUGUGAAAGCCCCCGGCUCAACCGGGGAGGGUCAUUGGAAACUGGGAAACUUGAGUGCAGAAGAGGAGAGUGGAAUUCCACGUGUAGCGGUGAAAUGCGUAGAGAUGUGGAGGAACACCAGUGGCGAAGGCGACUCUCUGGUCUGUAACUGACGCUGAGGAGCGAAAGCGUGGGGAGCGAACAGGAUUAGAUACCCUGGUAGUCCACGCCGUAAACGAUGAGUGCUAAGUGUUAGGGGGUUUCCGCCCCUUAGUGCUGCAGCUAACGCAUUAAGCACUCCGCCUGGGGAGUACGGUCGCAAGACUGAAACUCAAAGGAAUUGACGGGGGCCCGCACAAGCGGUGGAGCAUGUGGUUUAAUUCGAAGCAACGCGAAGAACCUUACCAGGUCUUGACAUCCUCUGACAACCCUAGAGAUAGGGCUUUCCCUUCGGGGACAGAGUGACAGGUGGUGCAUGGUUGUCGUCAGCUCGUGUCGUGAGAUGUUGGGUUAAGUCCCGCAACGAGCGCAACCCUUGAUCUUAGUUGCCAGCAUUCAGUUGGGCACUCUAAGGUGACUGCCGGUGACAAACCGGAGGAAGGUGGGGAUGACGUCAAAUCAUCAUGCCCCUUAUGACCUGGGCUACACACGUGCUACAAUGGACAGAACAAAGGGCUGCAAGACCGCAAGGUUUAGCCAAUCCCAUAAAUCUGUUCUCAGUUCGGAUCGCAGUCUGCAACUCGACUGCGUGAAGCUGGAAUCGCUAGUAAUCGCGGAUCAGCAUGCCGCGGUGAAUACGUUCCCGGGCCUUGUACACACCGCCCGUCACACCACGAGAGUUUGCAACACCCGAAGUCGGUGAGGUAACCUUUAUGGAUUAUCCGCUACGCCGAGUUUGUGACACGGGCCACA